GGAUAUGGCUCAGUGGUAGAGCGCUUGCCUAGCAUGUUCAAGACUUUGGGUUCAAUCCCCAGCACUAUUUA
rnacentral:tRNA from 1 species